CCUACGGGAGGCAGCAGUGGGGAAUAUUGCACAAUGGGCGAAAGCCUGAUGCAGCAACGCCGCGUGAGUGAUGAAGGCCUUCGGGUUGUAAAGCUCUGUCUUUGGGGACGAUAAUGACGGUACCCAAGGAGGAAGCCACGGCUAACUACGUGCCAGCAGCCGCGGUAAUACGUAGGUGGCAAGCGUUGUCCGGAUUUACUG
rnacentral:rRNA from 1 species